rnacentral:rRNA from 1 species
UACGAAGGGGGGCUAGCGUUGCUCGGAAUUACUGGGCGUAAAGGGCGCGUAGGCGGACAGUUUAGUCAGAGGUGAAAGCCCAGGGCUCAACCCUGGAAUUGCCUUUGAUACUGGCUGUCUUGAGUACGGGAGAGGUGUGUGGAACUCCGAGUGUAGAGGUGAAAUUCGUAGAUAUUCGGAAGAACACCAGUGACGAAGGCGACACACUGGCCCCGUUACUGACGCUGAGGCGCGAAAGCGUGGGGAGCAAACAGG